GUCAUUGAAGUUGAGGUAAAAAUCUUUCAAAAAUCACCAAUCUGAAGAUAUAUUUUCACGCAUAAUAUGAGGGGGAAAAACUGAAAUUUACAAAGAAACUCAUAAAAUUUAAACUUACAUCUUCUUCUUCCAUCUAAUACAACUUGAAAUUUGAGGGUUUGGAUUUUAGGGAAUGAAAUUCCAAGGAAUGCUGCUGGCUGCUCUUCUACAGGAACGGGAAUAGGGCUUACUGCUUAGGACUGUGAAGGAGAAGGAUAAAUGGGAUUUUAAAUGAAGUUUGUGGACCGGGCAGUUUAUUAGUUGUUGGGUCAGCGGUUCAGUGAAAAAUCGGCUGCUCCUUUGGGUUUUUAGCGGUUCAGCAACAUAGCUAAAAAAUUAAGCAGCUCGGACUGGACCAUGGUCCGGUUCGACGGUUUUUGGGUCGAACCGGCCGGUCCGGUCCGGG
rnacentral:lncRNA from 1 species